UUAGUUAGUUGGCGGAGUAACAGCCCACCAAGACGAUGAUCAGUAGCUGGUCUGAGAGGACGAACAGCCACACUGGAACUGAGACACGGUCCAGACUCCUACGGGAGGCAGCAGUGAGGAAUUUUGCUCAAUGGGCGCAAGCCUGAAGCAGCGACGCCGCGUGAAUGAUGAAGUCUUUCGGGAUGUAAAGUUCUGUCGACAGGGACAAUAAUGAUGGUACCUGUAGAGGAAGCACCGGCAAACUAUGUGCCAGCAGCCGCGGUAAUACAUAGGGUGCAAGCGUUAUCCGGAUUUACUGGGCGUAAAGCGUAUGUAGGUGGUAUUAUAAGUCAAACUUCAAAUCCCGGGGCUCAACCUCGGUUCGGGUUUGAUACUGCAGUACUUGAGUUUGGGAGAGGAAAGCGGAACUAACAGUGUAGCGGUGAAAUGCGUAGAUAUUGUUAGGAACACCCGUGGCGAAGGCGGCUUUCUGGACCAACACUGACACUGAGAUACGAAAGCGUGGGGAGCAAACAGGAUUAGAUACCCUGGUAGUCCACGCUGUAAACAAUGUACAUUAGGUAUAGGGGGUAUCGACUCCCUCUGUGCCGAAGCUAACGCGUUAAAUGUACCGCCUGGGGAGUACGGUCGCAAGAUUAAAACUCAAAGGAAUUGACGGGGGCCCGCACAAGCAGUGGAUCAUGUGGUUUAAUUCGACGAUACCCGAAAAACCUUACCAGAACUUGACAUCUAGGGAAUCCCAUAGAAGUAUGGGAGUGCUCGCAAGAGAACCCUAAGACAGGUGGUGCAUGGUUGUCGUCAGCUCGUGUCGUGAGAUGUUAGGUUAAGUCCUGCAACGAGCGCAACCCUCGUAUUGUGUUGCUACAUUUAGUUGAGCACUCUCAAUAGACUGCCCGUGGUAAACGGGAGGAAGGUGAGGAUGACGUCAAAUCAUCAUGCCCUUUAUGUUCUGGGCUACACACAUGAUACAAUGACAAGUACAAAGGGAUGCCAAACCGCAAGGUGGAGCAAAUCUCAUAAAACUUGCCUCAGUUCAGAUCGCAGGCUGCAACUCGCCUGCGUGAAGAUGGA
rnacentral:rRNA from 1 species